AACGUAGGAGACAAACGUUAUCCGGAGUUACUGGGCGUAAAGGGCGUGUAGGUGGCUAUGUAAGUCGGGCGUGAAAUCCCACGGCUCAACCGUGGAAGUGCACCCCGAAACUGCGUAGCUAGAGUCCUGGAGAGGAAGGUGGAAUGCUUGGUGUAGAGGUGAAAUUCGUAGAUAUCAAGCGGAACACCGGUGGCGAAGGCGGCCUUCUGGACAGUGACUGACGCUGAGACGCGAAAGCGUGGGGAGCAAACAGG
rnacentral:rRNA from 1 species